CUGAUCAUUUCCUAACUACCAAUCACCACAAGUCUUUAUUUUCUUAAUCUUUACACUCACUUUUUCCAGCUUGGGGGAAGGCUCAGUACCAGCUGCAGGCAAAUGGUAGGAGGAGAAAUGCUGCUGAUUCUCCUCUAGGACUUCAACUUGCCUGCAUGGACAGGGGAGCACUGGGACAAUGAGUGAGUAGCAUCACUCAGGAGAUGGGACUGUCCUUCUCAUCUCUGAAAGACUACAUCCUCCACCACUCACUCAGUGCUCUCUAGAAAGAGGGAGUCAAGAGAGUAGAACUGGUGCAGUGGCAGACUGGGCCUGUGACUAAGGAGUUCGUCCUGGAAGAUAUCUCGCUGCUGAGGGAGACCUGGAAAGCAAGGGAGGGUCUUC